CCUACGGGAGGCAGCAGUGAGGAAUAUUGGUCAAUGGACGAGAGUCUGAACCAGCCAAGUAGCGUGAAGGAUGACUGCCCUAUGGGUUGUAAACUUCUUUUAUAUGGGAAUAAAAUGUUCCACGUGUGGGAUUUUGUAUGUACCAUAUGAAUAAGGAUCGGCUAACUCCGUGCCAGCAGCCGCGGUAAUACGGAGGAUCCGAGCGUUAUCCGGAUUUAUUGGGUUUAAAGGGAGCGUAGGUGGAUUGUUAAGUCAGUUGUGAAAGUUUGCGGCUCAACCGUAAAAUUGCAGUUGAAACUGGCAGUCUUGAGUACAGUAGAGGUGGGCGGAAUUCGUGGUGUAGCGGUGAAAUGCUUAGAUAUCUCGAAGAACUCCGAUUGAGAAGGCAGUUCACUGGACUGCAACUGACACUGAGGCUCGAAAGUGUGGGUAUCAAACAGGAUUAGAUACCCCUGUAGUC
rnacentral:rRNA from 1 species